rnacentral:rRNA from 1 species
AUUGAACGCUGGCGGCAGGCCUAACACAUGCAAGUCGAACGAGUGGCGGACGGGUGAGUAAUGUCUGGGAAAAUGCCUGAUGGAGGGGGAUAACUACUGGAAACGGUAGCUAAUACCGCAUAACAUCAGAUGUGCCCAGAUGGGAUUAGCUUGUUGGUGGGGUAACGGCGCACCAAGGCGACGAUCACUCGCUUGUCUUAGAGGAUGACCAGCCACAUGUGAACUUAGACACGGUCCAGACUCCUCCGGGAGGCAGCAGUUGGGAAUAUUGCACAAUGUGCGCAAGCCUGAUGCAGCCAUGGCGCGUGUAUGAAGAAGGCCUUCGGGUUGUAAAGUACUUUCAGCGGGGAGGCGUUACCCGCAGAAGAAGCACCGGCUAACUCCGUGCCAGCAGCCGCGGUAAUAC